AGCACAUCGACCAGGAUUACAAAAAACUUGUGAAUGCCUGCAAGAAAGUUUAAAUUAACAAAUAAAACAAAUAAAUGAUUGUGAAAAACCCCGACAUGCAUUAGUUCCAACUUAUUCAUUCUGAAUGCACGAGACAAUUGUAUAUCCAAUUAUAAAAAAUUUGAGUAAAUAAAAAAAAAUCGUCACGGUUUACAAAUUCGGUAAUUUGUUUUCCGCGGAAGAAAAGCAUUCCGGAUGAGAAUAGGAUCCAAUUGAAUAGAAGAUUGAAGAAAAUGGAACCGGCGAUUGAGAAAGACUACAAGAUGAAAAGCCAGAGACAAUGAUUAUAGCCCAAAGGAAGCUAAGAUACACUAAGUUAUACGAAAAGCACGAUAGCUUAUUCAUAAACAAUCCAAUUUCGAAAAUUGUGUUGUGCCAGUUACAAAUUACAGCAAUCGGUGAUAAAAAUCAAAGCUGACUUUGUUAUUGGCCGUAUCUUUUCGAAACUUUGAUUCUACUGCUUAUGGAACCGUUCUUUAAUUUGAUUGUGUUUGGGAGAAGAAACUGUAUGAUAGUAGUGUGUGCAGACACGCAAGAUGAAUGAAAUACUUCGAAAGGAAUGUUUAUGUAAAUACUUGUGGAGACUCAGUUUAACUCCAGCAUUUUUUCAACUAUCCCAAUAAUCCCAUUAUUUCUAUUUCUGCCUCACGUUUCUAUUAGCAUAGUAUGGUUGGAAUUUUGAGUUACUUCUUUGUAGCAUUCUUUAAGGAUUCAUUUUUACAAACCACCAAAUCAUUGUGUACAAGUUAUACU